CUCCUGCCCCCAGUCCCUCCCAGCAUCAGGGUCUUUUCCAAUGAGUCAACUCUUCACAUGAGGUGGCCAAAGUACUGGAGUUUCAGUAUUAGCAUCACCUGAGGCCAAUUCCUCUGUAACUGGUAAUCCCCUUCCCCUCCCAGCAAAGACAGCUGCCAUGUCCUGCUUGCCCUCAGCGGCACACGGUGGAUGUCACUCCAAGACCUUGCUUCAGACAUGUCACAGAAGUCUGAAAGGAGCGGCUUGGAACAUCAAGCAACAUUGGGAUGAUGAGGUCAUUGUAUUCUGCCACGUUAUUGAAGUUCUUGUUAAAGCAACUUGGAUGUUAAAAGCAUAUCCCGGCACUGGCUUCUUGUUCCAGCUAAAUUUUGAGAGAUGGGAAAGUUGAGGCUUCACAAAGAAACAUAAAAGACAAGUACCAGAGAAAGACAUGAUUCUGUGGAAUAAAAAGAUGAAAACCAGCCAUGACCACAUGAAAAUAAAAGAAGAUAAAGAUCAUUUCUUGAACAAUACCUUCACAUCACCAGAGCUGGGGAAAGUGGAAAGAGACAGAAAACUGGUAAUUAUUGCCAAGAGACUUCAUGCAUGCAUUUACACCGUGAUUAUUGAUUUUUAAGUUUGCAAGUAAUCUCAUGAGCACAUUUUUGUUGCAAUAAUUGUAAUAAUGCAUUAAAGUCCCUGUUGGCCCCA